GAUGAACGCUAGCGGCGGGCCUAAUACAUGCAAGUCGAACGAUAGUGUUGUAGCAAUAUGACACGAAAGUGGCGCACGGGUGCGUAACACGUAUGCAAUCUACCUUUAAUUGGAGGAUAGCCUCGAGAAAUCGGGAUUAAUACUCCAUAACAUAAUUGAAUGGCAUCAUUUAAUUAUCAAACCUCCGGGGAUUAGAGAUGAGCAUGCGCAACAUUAGCUAGUUGGUAAGGUAAUGGCUUACCAAGGCUACGAUGUUUAGGGGGUCUGAGAGGAUGAUCCCCCACACUGGUACUGAGACACGGACCAGACUCCUACGGGAGGCAGCAGUAGGGAAUAUUGGGCAAUGGAGAAACUCUGACCCAGCCAUGCCGCGUGCAGGAUGA
rnacentral:rRNA from 1 species